rnacentral:lncRNA from 1 species
AACUCCAUAACUCACUAACCACAGAAACAGAGAGAAGCAACUAGGAACGGCAAGUUCGAACUGAAAGAGCUACUGAACUAACUAAACGAUAAGAAGUUAAAGAGGAAGAGUAGUUUUUUAAGCAGAUAGUCUUCUGAACUACGUACACCCAAGUCUUCCACUUGUCCGCACUUCCCCUAGUGAGUGAGGGUCGAUAAAAAUUAUCAUCAUUCUAUC